UUGAACCUACGGGAGGCAGCAGUAGGGAAUCUUCCACAAUGGACGAAAGUCUGAUGGAGCAACGCCGCGUGAGUGAAGAAGUAUUUCGAUAUGUAAAGCUCUAUCAGCAGGGAAGAAGAAAGACGGUACCUGACUAAGAAGCCCCGGCUAACUACGUGCCAGCAGCCGCGGUAAUACGUAGGGGGCAAGCGUUAUCCGGAUUUACUGGGUGUAAAGGGAGCGUAGACAGCAUAGCAAGUCUGAAGUGAAAGCCCGUGGCUCAACCGCGGAACUGCUUUGGAAACUGUUAAGCUGGAGUACUGGAG
rnacentral:rRNA from 1 species